rnacentral:rRNA from 1 species
CCUACGGGUGGCAGCAGUGAGGAAUAUUGCACAAUGGGGGAAACCCUGAACCAGCGAAGCCGCGUGAGUGAAGAAGUAUUUCGGUAUGUAAAACUCUGUCAGCAGGGGAGAAAAUGAUUGUACCUGACCAAGAAGCCCCGGCUAACUACGUGCCAGCAGCCGCGGUAAUACGUAGGGGGCCAGCGUUAUCCGGAUUUACUGGGUGUAAAGGGAGCGUAGGCGGCAGGGCAAGUCAGGAGUGAAAUGCGGGGGCUCAACCCCCGGAUUGCCCUUGAAACUGGAAGGCUGGAGUGCAGUAGAGGUAAGUGGAAUUCCUGGUGUAGCGGUGAAAUGCGUAGAUAUUAGGAGGAACACCGGUGGCGAAGGCGGCUUACUGGACUGUAACUGACGUUGAGGCUCGAAAGCGUGGGGAGCAAACAGGAUUAGAUACCCGUGUAGUC